rnacentral:lncRNA from 1 species
AAACGUGUUUAAACCGGGCAAGCCACUCGGUGCUAAUAAAAAGGAAAAGAUUUGAGUUGGAAAAUAAUCCUCUAGACACGGCCCCAAAAGGAGCGUUAUAGAGUGGAACAAGUUGAUCAUCAUGACGCCCAUUCCCCCCCGCCACCGCCUCUCGCCGCUGGCGAUCUCUUCCACCACCGUCUCCUUCUCCGACCAAUAAGCACCGCCAGCCUCCCCUAGAUCUGGAUCCAAAACCACGCCCAAUGCCGACGCCAAGGGCAAGGCCAACGCCAACGCCUCGCAUCGGCGGAGCCGCCCGAGUCCCGACUCCCUGUCCCAGCUAGACUCGCGCCCUAGACCGGCUAGACUCAUCGGGCCGCGUGCCUCGUUCCGAAAUCGAUCCUAAGGCGAUGGGCAGCAGGGGAGCCCCGCGGGCCGCCGCCGCCGACGNACGUACGUACGUGUGUGUGACUGUGACUGUGCGUACCCGACCCGUGAGCCAUCGGCGCUGUUGACGAUACUUUCGAUGCAGUAGUCAGGAUCGAUAAUUUCGUGGGCUCGUUUCUUUGGGAGACGGCGCUUCAAAUUUAAACAAAGUCACUUGUCAUUUGAAAAUUAUUACUGCACAGUGUUCAUUUUGGUUCAUGUAGCACUCACGUAUUAAUUAUGGCCUUGCAG